rnacentral:rRNA from 1 species
UACGAAGGGGGCUAGCGUUGCUCGGAAUCACUGGGCGUAAAGCGCACGUAGGCGGAUUGUUAAGUCAGGGGUGAAAUCCUGGAGCUCAACUCCAGAACUGCCUUUGAUACUGGCGAUCUUGAGUCCGGAAGAGGAGAAUGGAAUUCCCGGUGUAGCGGUGAAAUGCGCAGAUAUCGGGAAGAACACCCGUGGCGAAGGCGGUUCUCUGGGACGGUACUGACGCUGAGACGCGAAAGCGUGGGGAGCGAACAGG